GUAAGGAAUAUUGGUCAAUGGACGAAAGUCUGAACCAGCCAUGCCGCGUGGAGGAUGAAGGUCCUCUGGAUUGUAAACUUCUUUUAUAUGGGACGAAAAAAGGCUUUUCUAAGUCGUCUGACGGUACCAUAUGAAUAAGCACCGGCUAACUCCGUGCCAGCAGCCGCGGUAAUACGGAGGGUGCAAGCGUUAUCCGGAUUCACUGGGUUAAAAGGGUGCGUAGGUGGAUUGCCAAGUCCGUGGUGAAAUCUUCGAGCUUAACUCGGAAACUGCCAUGGAUACUGGUGAUCUUGAAUAUCGUGGAGGUUAGCGGAAUAUGUCAUGUAGCGGUGAAAUGCUUAGAUAUGACAUAGAACACCAAUUGCGAAGGCAGCUGGCUACGCGAAUAUUGACACUCAGGCACGAAAGCGUGGGGAUCAAACAGGAUUAGAUACCCUAGUAGUCC
rnacentral:rRNA from 1 species